UGCGUAGGUGGUUUCUUAAGUCAGGAGUGAAAGGCUACGGCUCAACCGUAGUAAGCUCUUGAAACUGGGAAACUUGAGUGCAGGAGAGGAAAGUGGAAUUCCUAGUGUAGCGGUGAAGUGCGUAGAUAUUAGGAGGAACACCAGUAGCGAAGGCGGCUUUCUGGACUGUAACUGACACUGAGGCACGAAAGCGUGGGGAGGCAAACA
rnacentral:rRNA from 1 species